rnacentral:rRNA from 1 species
CGUAGGUGGCAAGCGUUGUCCGGGAUUAUUGGGCGUAAAGCGCGCGCAGGCGGUUCCUUAAGUCUGAUGUGAAAGCCCCCGGCUCAACCGGGGAAGGUCAUUGGAAACUGGGGAACUUGAGUGCAGAAGAGAAGAGCGGAAUUCCACGUGUAGCGGUGAAAUGCGUAGAGAUGUGGAGGAACACCAGUGGCGAAGGCGGCUCUUUGGUCUGUAACUGACGCUGAGGCGCGAAAGCGUGGGGAGCAAACAGGAUUAGAUACCCUGGUAGUCCACGCCGUAAACGAUGAGUGCUAAGUGUUAGAGGGUUUCCGCCCUUUAGUGCUGCAGCUAACGCAUUAAGCACUCCGCCUGGGGAGUACGGCCGCAAGGCUG